AAUCAACGCUGGCGGCGUGCCUAACACAUGCAAGUCGAACGCGGUUAUCCAGCAAUGGAUAACUGAGUGGCGAACGGGUGAGUAACACGUGGGUGACCUACCUUCGAGUGGGGGAUAACGUCCCGAAAGGGACGCUAAUACCGCAUAACAUCCUGCCUUUGAACAGGCGGUGAUCAAAGCCGGGGACCGUAAGGCCCGGCGCUUGAUGAGGGGCUCGCGUCUGAUUAGCUAGUUGGUGAGGUAACGGCCCACCAAGGCGACGAUCAGUAUCCGGCCUGAGAGGGCGGACGGACACACUGGGACUGAGACACGGCCCAGACUCCUACGGGAGGCAGCAGUGGGGAAUUGUUCACAAUGGGGGAAACCCUGACGCAGCAACGCCGCGUGAGUGAGGAAGGUCUUAGGAUUGUAAAACUC
rnacentral:rRNA from 1 species